CCAGAUUUUUCACGGGUGUUUGAGUGCAAUGCUCGUUGGUCCACCCACAAGCACGUUCCUGGCUUGGGCAAACCUGAUGACACCAAACAAAAGGUUGAUCGCUUCUAUGGAUUCUGGUACGACUUUGAUUCCUGGCGAGAGUUUUCAUAUCUGGAUGAGGAGGGAAAAGGAGAAGGGACAGGACCGGGAGGAGCGUCGAUGGAUAGAGAAGCAGAACAAGGUAGAGCGAGCGAGGCGUCGGAAGGAGGAGAUGGGUCGAUUGCGCAGGCUAGUUGACAAUGCAUAUGCCUGUGACCCAAGGAUAGCCAAAUUUAAAGAAGAAGACAAGGAAAGAAGACUGGCUCAGAAAAA